UUCUUAUAGGAGAAGUUCAAAUUACCAACGCAUUUGAUGCAUCAUUGGUUCUGAUCAAUCCGGAUUUGCCUGAAGUCGUGACUUUCAAAAGCAUGAUGCCACAAAAUGAUACUGCAAUUACUCCUUUCGAUCAAAAUUCAAACAGUAAGGCAAUCAAGGCUCCAAAGGUGGACUGGAAUGAAGUUGAUGUCAAAUCAAUCUCAGAAAUAUUGGUGGCCAUGAAGAUUGAAAGCUGCAAAAUCAUUGUUUCUAUUGAAACCGUAGAUACAGAUUGGGGCUGGUUCUAUUUUGG